rnacentral:rRNA from 1 species
AGACCGAUAGUGUACCAGUACCGUGAGGGAAAGGUGAAAAGCACCUCGAACAGAGGAGUGAAAUAGAUCCUGAAACCCUGUGUCUACAAGCAGUGGAAGCACUACUGAUCUUCGGAUCAUGUGCGACCGCGUGCCUUUUGCAUAAUGAGCCAACGAGUUGUCUGUCGGUGGCAGGUUAAGUUUUUAACGAAGCCACAGCGAAAGCGAGUCCGAAAUGGGCGUUAGUCAUCGGCAACAGACCCGAAACCGAGUGAUCUACCCCUGUCCAGGUUGAAGCCUGGGUAAGACCAGGUGGAGGACCGAACCGUUGAGCCUUAAAACGUUCUCGGAUGAGGUGGGGGUAGGAGUGAAAGGCUAAUCAAACUCGGAGAUAGCUGGUUCUCCCCGAAAUAUAUUGAGGUAUAGCCUCGUGAUAGACCGCCGGAGGUAGAGCACUGGAUGGACUAGGGCCCUCACCAGGGUACCAAACCCAACCAAACUGCAAAUACCGGCGAGUUGUUUCACGGGAGUCAGACAGCGGGAGCUAACUUUCGUUGUCGAAAGGGAAACAACCCUAACCAUCAGCUAAGGCCCCCAAGUCGUGACUAAGUGGGAAAGGAAGUGGGAGCGCCCAGACAGCCAGGAGGUUGGCUUAGAAGCAGCCACCCUUUAAA